ensembl:lncRNA
ACCACUUCACAGUGUAGCUGUGCCUGCAGCAGCUUCUCACAGCUAGCAGCAAUGCUGAAGAAGUAUUUAAUUCACUACUAUGCAAAUAGUCCUGUGGGUUACAGCUAGGGAAGAAAAUAGACCUCUUUGUCUUGUGCUACACUGCGUAGUCUGCGUGGGCAGAAAGACAGAGUGCUGCCUGUGUUAUAAGCCUCCUGACACAGGUCAAGCAGCAGCUAUGCCAGGGAAGAAGCCUGGAGAACCAACUUGACAAUGUCAUUAAGAAUCAGAGAAGAAAUCAGAGACUUUAAAAGAGCUGAUUCUUCUGGAUGACCUACUGCAGCUCGCCUUCGUCCCUGGUUUGCAGACGUAUGAGCCCAUCAGCUUGAGUGAUGGAGAAACUGGUGAGAGAGUCAAGGUUUUCUUUGAAUUUCUUCUGUGCAAAGCCAGAGUCUUGUUUUUCCGACGGCACCGGGAUCCCAGCUGCUCACUGUCCUUGCUCGUGGUUUUGAGGUCCUUUCUGCACAGCAGAGAAGAGUGGGAGCUGGAAGAGGCAGGCGCAACCUCUUUCUCCUUUGCCUGCUCCACUAGACAGGAGGAGAGAAGACACUUAAAAAGAGGAGAUCCUUGCUGUGGAAGAAAGGAAGCCCAGCCAGAGCACAGUCUAUUUCCAUCAGCUUCUGAUGCUGCCCACCUUUUGAUUGGAAAUGUUGAAGCAGCUCCCAAGCCAAGAAGCAGCUGCUGUGGCUACCCAACAGUAGAGCUUUCAUCCUGAUCAACCUACAUCUUCUUAUAGGGGCGGAGAGAAGAGACUGAGCUCUGUAGCACUUGAGUCUCACCACUGUUCCUCUUCCCUGUCCCAGGAAAGAUGGGGAAGAGAACGUUGCCUUCCUCUUAGCAACAAGGACAGUGACAUAAUUGCUUUCCUGUACUCCCUUUGACCUCAGCCUCUGGGAUCACCUGAAUGUUUCUAUGGUCUACAUGCUCAGUGCCAUUUUCUGUUUUCUACUUCUUGCUAAGGCUGAGGAUUAUUUGGCAAGUGCAGAUUUGAAGCUCAUGCAACCUUCAGCCUUCUCGGAAGGAAAAGUAGGGCCUGAAAGCCCUGUUGAGGGAUCUUGAAAAUAGGGAAGGAAAAUAGUAUACCUUAAAAUGGGAGAAUUUUCUGACCCUCUUUUUUAGUCUGUUUUCUUUUAACUUGGCUGGAUAUAGCCUUGUUUGCUGUUGCCUGUAUAAAUUGGAGGCUUAACUUUAAAACCCUUGAAUCUACGUAAUUCAGCUGCUGCUCACUGAAUUUGCCAAAAGGGAAGAUGAGAGAGUAUAAUCUUCUAGGAAUAUCUCCUGGAUGGUAUGUGUCUAUGGGAAAGUAAACUCCAUCUUCCAAAGAAUCAGUCUCAACUUAUCCAGGACAUGAGAAAGUGAUAAGGGUAGUUCAUGAAGGAAGCUAACAAAGAGCUACUCCGAAUAGAUAUCUCUGAGCUCGUAACCUUGAGUUCCCUUUAAAGUCAAGGAAGAGGGGUUUUUCUCUCAUGUGUGCAAAACUGGUCAGAUGACUUAUUCCUAGAACUGUUGAUUUCUUUCCAAUGUCUAUGGAGAGGACCUAGGUCAGUUUAGCUCAGCUGUAAAUGUAUGUUGACAGAUGUCUGAAGUAAGGCCUGAUGAAUCCAAA